AAACACUACGAAUGCGGCGGGUUCUCGCAGCGUGUGCGCCAGCGUCAGUAAGAUUGACAGUCGGCGCUGAUGACAGACAGUCGAUAGGCCAAGCAGUCUCCAUCAUCAUGCAAUUGUUUAUAGCGGUAAAGAGUGAAGAGACACUAUGCAAGGAAAGAAUAUUUCUUAUUGAUGCCGGCGACGUGUGGGAAACGUGAGAUCCGUACGAAAUGCGAAUAGAAAAAUAAUAAAUUUGAUAAAAUUGGAGAUAUCAGAAAGCUAUAAGAAAUACAAAAUAUGAUAAAUAUUGUAUUUUAUUAUACCAUUCCCAUAAAGUUAACAGUUAUUCGAAAUAUCUCUUUUACAAAAGUUACUCUGUUAUGAAUGUUUAGAAGUAAAAUGUUGUGUUUAAUUGUGUUCCUCUAUCUAGUAUGUAAAGUAUUUCUUAAUAUUAAUAAAUAUUUUUUUUAUCCACCAA